CGAACGAACUCUUCGGAGUUAGUGGCGGACGGGUGAGUAACACGUGGGAACGUGCCUUUAGGUUCGGAAUAACUCAGGGAAACUUGUGCUAAUACCGAAUGUGCCCUUCGGGGGAAAGAUUUAUCGCCUUUAGAGCGGCCCGCGUCUGAUUAGCUUGUUGGUGGGGUAAUGGCCCACCAAGGCGACGAUCAGUAGCUGGUCUGAGAGGAUGACCAGCCACAUUGGGACUGAGACACGGCCCAAACUCCUACGGGAGGCAGCAGUGGGGAAUCUUGCGCAAUGGGCGAAAGCCUGACGCAGCCAUGCCGCGUGGAUGAUGAAGGUCUUAGGAUUGUAAAAUCCUUUCACCGGUGAAGAUAAUGACUGUAGCCGGAGAAGAAGCCCCGGCUAACUUCGUGCCAGCAGCCGCGGUAAUACGAAGGGGGCUAGCGUUGCUCGGAAUUACUGGGCGUAAAGGGAGCGUAGGCGGACAUUUAAGUCAGGGGUGAAAUCCCGAGGCUCAACCUCGGAACUGCCUUUGAUACUGGGUGUCUUGAGUGUGAGAGAGGUGAGUGGAACUCCGAGUGUAGAGGUGAAAUUCGUAGAUAUUCGGAAGAACACCAGUGGCGAAGGCGACUCACUGGCUCAUUACUGACGCUGAGGCUCGAAAGCGUGGGGAGCAAACAGGAUUAGAUACCCUGGUAGUCCACGCCGUAAACGAUGAUUGCUAGUUGUCGGGGAGCUUGCUCUUCGGUGACGCAGCUAACGCAUUAAGCAAUCCGCCUGGGGAGUACGGUCGCAAGAUUAAAACUCAAAGGAAUUGACGGGGGCCCGC
rnacentral:rRNA from 1 species